rnacentral:rRNA from 1 species
UGAGGAAUAUUGGUCAAUGGGCGGGAGCCUGAACCAGCCAAGCCGCGUGAGGGAAGAAGGCCCUAUGGGUCGUAAACCUCUUUUGUCAGGGAACAAAAGCGAGUAUGUAUACUAGUCUGAGUGUACCUGAAGAAAAACGCAUCGGCUAACUCCGUGCCAGCAGCCGCGGUAAUACGGAGGAUGCGAGCGUUAUCCGGAUUUAUUGGGUUUAAAGGGUGCGUAGGCGGCGGUGCAAGUCAGCGGUAAAAGCCCGGGGCUCAACCCCGGCGAGCCGUUGAAACUGCAGUGCUAGAGAAGGCGAGAGGUACGCGGAAUGCGCAGUGUAGCGGUGAAAUGCUUAGAUAUUGCGCAGAACUCCGAUUGCGAAGGCAGCGUACUGGCGCCUGACUGACGCUGAGGCACGAAAGCGUGGGGAUCGAACAGGAUUAGAUACC